GAAAUGCGAUAAGUCGUGUGAAUUGCAGAAUUCCGUGAAUCAUCGAAUCUUUGAACGCACUUUGCGCCCUUUAGUAGGUCCAUUGGGCAUGCCCGCUCGAGAGUCAUUUCCGCCCAAUCUCAGUCACUGCUUGGUGAUGGACGCUUGUCCCGCCCUGCUGCGCGCGGACUCGCCUCAAAACCAUUGGCGGCCGGCAUCCGUUUUUCGCACGCAGUAUACCGCGCGAGUGGAAUUAGGAAGCCCGGCGUCCACAAAAAGGACCCCCAAGAUUGACCUCGGAUCAGGUAGGGAUACCCGCUGAACUUAA
rnacentral:misc_RNA from 1 species